rnacentral:rRNA from 1 species
GUGGGGAAUAUUCCGCAAUGGACGAAAGUCUGACGGAGCAACGCCGCGUGAGUGAUGAAGGUUUUCGGACUGUAAAGCUCUGUUGUUUAGGACGAAAGUGCCUGUUGCAAACAGUUACAGGUAUUGACGGUACUAAACGAGGAAGCCACGGCUAACUACGUGCCAGCAGCCGCGGUAAUACGUAGGUGGCAAGCGUUGUCCGGAAUUAUUGGGCGUAAAGAGCAUGUAGGCGGGAAUCUAAGUCUGUUGUGAAAAUGCGGGGCUCAACCCCGUAUUGCGAUGGAAACUGGGUUUCUUGAGUGCAGGAGAGGAAAGGGGAAUUCCCAGUGUAGCGGUGAAAUGCGUAGAUAUUGGGAGGAACACCAGUGGCGAAGGCGCCUUUCUGGACUGUGUCUGACGCUGAGAUGCGAAAGCCAGGGUAGCGAACGGGAUUAGAAACCCGGGUAGUCC